rnacentral:lncRNA from 1 species
GUCAAAAACACACUUAAACUAUACCAUUUUUUUGAGUUUCAUACCUAAACUAUUGAGAGUGUGAGUUUCAUACCUAAACUAUCAUUUUUUAGUUUGAGAAACACACAUAUAUUUGUUAUACCACUCUCAUCAUGGUAUGUGUAAUACACUCUUUCUUUUAUUUUAAAAAAUUAUCACAUCACACUCCAUAUGGACAAAAUAUUCAACUUUGACAAAAAUUAAAUAAAUUAUUAGUAUUAGUUAAAAUUUAAAAUUUAAAAAUUAUUAUCCAAAAAAAUAAUAUUUCUUUAUAAAAUAAAAUGUAAAAUAUUUUUCUCACCCCCUCCCCCCACCCCCCGGUCAUUUAUUUUUGUUUAUUUUUGUUUAAAUUUCUUUUAUAAAAGUACUUUUUUUUUACUUCAUCUCCUCUCCCUCCCCCCUUUUCAAAUACUAAUUUAGAUAUUAUUUUAUUUUUAAAAAAAUUCUACUCUCCCCACAUAACCCUCCGCUUCCAAUUUUUUUCUCAUUUAGUGUUAAAUAUGUACAUAUCGAAAAUAUUUUUUACUGGCCACCGCAAGACUUUUUUUAAGUUUUAAUUUAUUUAUGUUAUAUUCGUACACUAGUAAAAAAAAAAUCUAAAAAUAUAUGUACGUACAUAUCUAACACAAAAUGAGAAAAAUGUAAAAAAAAA